CCCAUUACUCCCAACUGCUCCCCUUAACUGCCCCCAUUUCUCAUCUCUGGAAUGUUUUCUUCCCAUCGUCGUAAACAAUGAAUCGAACGAAAACCUUAUCCUCCCACUUCACUUCUAUUCUUCAUCCACAACUGUUCACAUCUCUCGGAAUGUUUUCUUCAGACAAUUUUAUUCUUCGGUGCCUAAAAUGAUGGUUUAGGGAUUCAAUCUCUUUGAAGAUCGGUAACUCGAUUUAUCGAACCAAAGUCCCAAGAGUUAAACUAAUAACUCUCUGAAAUUGAGCAAAGUUUUCUUCUGGAUUUUGCAAGGUGCAGUGGGAUGUGAAAUCCUUCUCUGCAGGAUAUGAUCAUGGAUGAUGCUCAUCAAGGAUAAGCUUUUGGUCAGAAUUGACAUGACAACAGUAACAUCAUGAGGCAUAAUGAAAGGGGAGCAGGUAACCCAUGUAUUAAAUCCAUUAAAUAUUGAAUAUACGCAUGUAGGUAAGCCAAUAUCCGGGUGUUAUUUGUAGGUCAAUGUAGUUUGGGGCUGAGAGUAGGGAGGAGAUCUGUUCGGAUAUAUCAUGUUGGUGACAAGUUUAGGCAUGGUCAGAAAAGAACUGUCGUCAUGACAUGACACGAGAAGAGAUUCCAUAGUGAAAGCAUCACCCAAGACAUCAUUGUGAAUCCACAUAUAUCCCUUUUCGACUAACAAUUGUUCAGGUUAUUGAAAGUACCACGGGGAAGGCUGCAGAUCAUGUGGGGAAGGAGGGAGGUGCUUCUCCCUUCAGUUGGCUAUAUUCGUUUGGUUUUUCCUUUGGUGGGUUAUAUAAUGGCUAAGUUAGUGAAAUCAUACUCUUGGAAUUCUCUUAGAAGUACAAUGUAAUGAGUAAAGUUAUGUUAGCAUGUUCUGCUGCGAAACUUACGCCUAUCUCUACUAUUUUUUAGUCAUACUUUGACAGUUGAUUAAAUUUAGAUCUAAUGUUAUAACAAGUUAAAUAUUGUUUCA